CGUUCCCGGGUCUUGUACACACCGCCCGUCACACCACGAGAGUUUACAACACCCGAAGUCGGUGAGGUAACCCGCAAGGGGGCCAGCCGCCGAAGGUGGGGUAGAUGAUUGGGGUG
rnacentral:rRNA from 1 species